UCGAACGAUGAAGCCCUUCGGGGUGGAUUAGUGGCGAACGGGUGAGUAACACGUGGGCAAUCUGCCCUGCACUCUGGGACAAGCCCUGGAAACGGGGUCUAAUACCGGAUGAUAUCCCCUCUCGCAUGGGAGGGGGUUGAAAGCUCCGGCGGUGCAGGAUGAGCCCGCGGCCUAUCAGCUAGUUGGUGAGGUAGAAGCUCACCAAGGCGACGACGGGUAGCCGGCCUGAGAGGGCGACCGGCCACACUGGGACUGAGACACGGCCCAGACUCCUACGGGAGGCAGCAGUGGGGAAUAUUGCACAAUGGGCGAAAGCCUGAUGCAGCGACGCCGCGUGAGGGAUGACGGCCUUCGGGUUGUAAACCUCUUUCAGCAGGGAAGAAGCGAAAGUGACGGUACCUGCAGAAGAAGCGCCGGCUAACUACGUGCCAGCAGCCGCGGUAAUACGUAGGGCGCAAGCGUUGUCCGGAAUUAUUGGGCGUAAAGAGCUCGUAGGCGGCUUGUCACGUCGGUUGUGAAAGCCCGGGGCUUAACCCCGGGUCUGCAGUCGAUACGGGCAGGCUAGAGUGUGGUAGGGGAGAUCGGAAUUCCUGGUGUAGCGGUGAAAUGCGCAGAUAUCAGGAGGAACACCGGUGGCGAAGGCGGAUCUCUGGGCCAUUACUGACGCUGAGGAGCGAAAGCGUGGGGAGCGAACAGGAU
rnacentral:rRNA from 2 species